GUGCCAGCAGCCGCGNUAAUACGGAGGGUGCNAGCGUUANUNGGAAUUACUGGGCGUAAAGCGCACGCNGGCGNUCUGUUAANUCAGAUGUGAANUCCCCGGGCUCAACCUGGGAACUGCAUUUGAAACNGGCAGGCUUGANUNNNUAGAGGGGGGUAGANUUCCAGGUGUAGCGGUGAAAUGCGUAGAGAUCNGGAGGAAUACCGGUGGCGAAGGCGGCCCCCUGGACAAAGACUGACGNUCAGGUGCGAAAGCGUGGGGAGCAAACAGGAUUAGAUACCNUGGUAGUCCACGCUGUAAACGAUGUCGACUUGGAGGUUGUUCCCUUGAGGAGUGGCUUCCGGAGCUAACGCGUUAAGUCGACCGCCUGGGGAGUACGGCCGCAAGGUUAAAACUCAAAUGAAUUGACGGGGGCCCGCACAAGCGGUGGAGCAUGUGGUUUAAUUCGAUGCAACGCGAAGAACCUUACCUACUCUUGACAUCCAGAGAACUUAGCAGAGAUGCUUUGGUGCCUUCGGGAACUCUGAGACAGGUGCUGCAUGGCUGUCGUCAGCUCGUGUUGUGAAAUGUUGGGUUAAGUCCCGCAACGAGCGCAACCCUUAUCCUUUGUUGCCAGCGRUYCGGYCGGGAACUCAAAGGAGACUGCCAGUGAUAAACUGGAGGAAGGUGGGGAUGACGUCAAGUCAUCAUGGCCCUUACGAGUAGGGCUACACACGUGCUACAAUGGCAUAUACAAAGAGAAGCGACCUCGCGAGAGCAAGCGGACCUCAUAAAGUAUGUCGUAGUCCGGAUUGGAGUCUGCAACUCGACUCCAUGAAGUCGGAAUCGCUAGUAAUCGUAGAUCAGAAUGCUACGGUGAAUACGUUCCCGGGCCUUGUACACACCGCCCGUCACACCAUGGGAGUGGGUUGCAAAAGAAGUAGGUAGCUUAANNNNNNGGAGGGCGCUU
rnacentral:rRNA from 1 species